rnacentral:rRNA from 1 species
CUUGUGACCAUACUCCCCCUGGAAC